AACCUCCGCAAUGUGAGAAAUCGCGACGGGGGGAUCCCAAGUGCCAUUCUUAACGGGAUGGCUUUUCAUUAGUGUAAAGAGCUUUUGGAAUAAGGGCUGGGCAAGACCGGUGCCAGCCGCCGCGGUAACACCGGCAGCUCUAGUGGUAGCAGUUUUUAUUGGGCCUAAAGCGUCCGUAGCCGGUUUAAUAAGUCUCUGGUGAAAUCCUGUAGCUUAACUGUGGGAAUUGCUGGAGAUACUAUUAGACUUGAGACCGGGAGAGGUUAGAGGUACUCCCAGGGUAGAGGUGAAAUUCUGUAAUCCUGGGAGGACCGCCUGUUGCGAAGGCGUCUAACUGGAACGGUUCUGACGGUGAGGGACGAAAGUUAGGGGCGCGAACCGGAUUAGAUACCCGGGUAGUCCUAACCGUAAACGAUGCGGACUUGGUGUUGGGGUGGCUUUGAGCUGCUCCAGUGCCGAAGGGAAGCUGUUAGUCCGCCGCCUGGGAAGUACGGUCGCAAGACUGAAACUUAAAGGAAUU
rnacentral:rRNA from 1 species